UUGAGGAAGUUAAGUUGAAAAAUAACUUGAUCUUGGAUUGCGAGCACUUUAGAGCUCAUUUUUUUUUAAAUAUCCUGAAGUGAAGGCCUGUUUCGGGUUCAUUGGUACACGGGAAGCAAUUAGAAGGGUAGUACAGUGAUGAUUAUUUAACAAUCAGAAAUUCACUCGGACUAUCGUCGUGAGAGCAAGCUUCCAAACCAGUCUCAUCGCCAGCUUGGCCAACUGUCGGAUAGUAUCUACCUAGGCAGUAUGUCGGAGAAGGAGAGAACCAUGUCUGGGACAACAGAAACUCCUAUGUUUUUGCACAAGGCAGGGUUCCUCAAGCGAACGGACAAAGAACAACUGGUGAUGUGCAAGCUAGUUCCACGUGACAUCGGGGAGCGUCCAGAGAUUCAAAUAUUCACCGAUGGAUCCGAAGAACCAACUUCUAUCGUC
rnacentral:lncRNA from 1 species